CGAACGGAAAGGCCCUGCUUUUGUGGGGUGCUCGAGUGGCGAACGGGUGAGUAACACGUGAGUAACCUGCCCUUGACUUUGGGAUAACUUCAGGAAACUGGGGCUAAUACCGGAUAGGAGCUCCUGCUGCAUGGUGGGGGUUGGAAAGUUUCGGCGGUUGGGGAUGGACUCGCGGCUUAUCAGCUUGUUGGUGGGGUAGUGGCUUACCAAGGCUUUGACGGGUAGCCGGCCUGAGAGGGUGACCGGCCACAUUGGGACUGAGAUACGGCCCAGACUCCUACGGGAGGCAGCAGUGGGGAAUAUUGCACAAUGGGCGGAAGCCUGAUGCAGCAACGCCGCGUGCGGGAUGACGGCCUUCGGGUUGUAAACCGCUUUCGCCUGUGACGAAGCGUGAGUGACGGUAAUGGGUAAAGAAGCACCGGCUAACUACGUGCCAGCAGCCGCGGUGAUACGUAGGGUGCGAGCGUUGUCCGGAUUUAUUGGGCGUAAAGGGCUCGUAGGUGGUUGAUCGCGUCGGAAGUGUAAUCUUGGGGCUUAACCCUGAGCGUGCUUUCGAUACGGGUUGACUUGAGGAAGGUAGGGGAGAAUGGAAUUCCUGGUGGAGCGGUGGAAUGCGCAGAUAUCAGGAGGAACACCAGUGGCGAAGGCGGUUCUCUGGGCCUUUCCUGACGCUGAGGAGCGAAAGCGUGGGGAGCGAACAGGCUUAGAUACCCUGGUAGUCCACGCUGUAAACGGUGGGUACUAGGUGUGGGGUCCAUUCCACGGGUUCCGUGCCGUAGCUAACGCUUUAA
rnacentral:rRNA from 1 species